CUUGAGCCCAAUAAGUUUGAAUGCGAAAUAUGACUGACUUGAUGAGCUGACAUCUGCCAGCAUAGGAGAGCAUUCUAGCAGACCAGCAAGUAACUUUAGCUGUGAUCUUCUCAAUAAUUGGGAGAUAAUGGCCAACAGAUAGCUUUUUAGAAUCAAGGGGGAUUCCCAGAUAUCUGAAAGGUAGUUUACCUUCAGUGAAUCCCAGUUCUUCCAGAAUCAGAACCUUAUCAUCCAGUGUAGUGCCAGCUAUAUAUAGUGCACUCUUUGACAGAUUAGCUUGCAACCCUGAUGCAUU
rnacentral:lncRNA from 1 species